rnacentral:rRNA from 1 species
UGUGAAAACGCCCUUUAACCCCUAAUGGGAAAAGGAGCUGGUUUUUUGGCACAACUUCCCGCCCCAAGACACCUAGCUUUUGCCACACCCACCAAGGGUAAUCAGCAGUGAUCAACAUUAAAUAUAAGCGACAGCUUUGAUUUAGUUAAAGUAAAAAGAGCCGGCAAAUCUGGUGCCAGCCGCCGCGGGUUACACCACGUGGCUCAAAUUGAUUACCAUCGGGGUAAAGCGGUGAUUAAAGUAAACCAAAAAUUAGUGUGAAACUAAAACUAAGCUGUGGCACGCUUGUUAACUAUGAAACUCAAAAACGAAAGUUGCCCUAAUUAACUCAACUUGAACUCACGACAGCUGGAAAACAAACUGGGAUUAGAUACCCCACUAUGCCCAGCCGUAAACUUUUACUUACACCCAAAUCGCCUGGGAACUACGAGCGAAGCUUAAAACCCAAGGGACUUGACGGUACCCCACAUCCACCUAGAGGAGCCUGUCCUAUAAUCGGAUAAUCCACGUUCAACCUCACCAUUUCUAGCCCAUCAGCCUGUAUACCUCCGUCCUCAGCUUACCUCGUGAGCGAAAUCUAGUAAGCUUAAUGCCCCUACGCCAGCACGUCAGGUCAAGGUGCAGC